rnacentral:lncRNA from 1 species
CGUCAUGUAAGGUACAUGUUAAUCAUGUUGCGUACAUUAGUACAAAUAAGAUACUGACUAAAUAAGUACCUCCUCCUCGAUCACACUUGCGCUAACCCACUAACCCCGUGGUACAUCAUGACCUAUUGGUACGUCACAAAAAAAAAUACACCUCAAAAAUCAAAAGUUGUAAGUACCUUCUCAACCUUAUUACAUCGUUAAUUUUAGUACCUUGUGCAUACACAUUGCUACAAUUAGCAUGUAACGCGUCAAAUAUGAAUACCACAAUACAUCAGAAGUACCUCAUCCACUGCAACCCAGUGACAGAUCAGAUAGGUAUGAACAUGUUCAUAAGAAAUACACCUAAAAAAUCAAAACAACGCAUCAUCACAGAGACAGAAAUUCCUUCAUAAGUACCUCGUCGAUCAUCAUCACAGUACCUCAUGAAUCUAAGAUAUAAAAAAGAAAAUUUUCUGCAUAAUACCUAUAAGUACCUCAUCAAACCUCAGCAAUCGAUGGAUCUCAAGAAGAAAAAAGGAACUUUCCUGCAUAAUGGGGGCUCUGAAGGCACGAAUAAUGAACUUACUUCCUUGCUGUGGUACAAUGAGGAA